rnacentral:rRNA from 1 species
GAUGAACGCUAGCUACAGGCUUAACACAUGCAAGUCGAGGGGCAGCAUGAACUUAGCUUGCUAAGUUUGAUGGCGACCGGCGCACGGGUGAGUAACACGUAUCCAACCUGCCGAUGACUCGGGUAUAGCCUUUCGAAAGAAAGAUUAAUACCCGAUGGCAUAGUUCUUCCGCAUGGUAGAACUAUUCAGGAAUUUCGGUCAUCGAUGGGGAUGCGUUCCAUUAGGUUGUUGGCGGGGUAACGGCCCACCAAGCCUUCGAUGGAUAGGGGUUCUGAGAGGAAGGUCCCCCAGAUGGGAACUGGGACACGGUCCAAACUCCUACGGGAGGCAGCAGUGAGGAAUAUUGGUGAGUGGACGAGAGUCUGAACCAGCCAAGUAGCGUGAAGGAUGACUGCCCUAGGGGUUGUAACCUUCUUUUAGACGGGAAUAAAGUGAGGCACGGGUGCCUUUUUGUAGGUACCGUAUGAAUAAGGAUCGGCUAACUCCGUG